rnacentral:rRNA from 1 species
GGGGAAACGGCAUUAUGUGCUUGCACAUUUUGGACGUCGACCGGCGCACGGGUGAGUAUCGCGUAUCCAACCUGCCCUUUACUUGGGGAUACCCCGUUGAAAGACGGCCUAAUACCCGAUGUAAUUCAUUGAUGGCAUCAGAUAUGAAUAAAAGAUUUAUCGGUAAAGGAUGGGGAUGCGUCUGAUUAGCUUGUUGGUGAGGUAAAGGCUCACCAAGGCAACGAUCAGUAGGGGUUCUGAGAGGAAGGUCCCCCACAUUGGAACUGAGACACGGUCCAAACUCCUACGGGAGGCAGCAGUGAGGAAUAUUGGUCAAUGGGCGCAAGCCUGAACCAGCCAAGUAGCGUGCAGGAAGACGGCCCUAUGGGUUGUAAACUGCUUUUAUACGAGAAUAAUUUGAUGCACGUGUGCGUUAUUGCAUGUAUCGUAUGAAUAAGGACCGGCUAAUUCCGUGCCAGCAGCCGCGGUAAUACGGAAGGUCCAGGCGUUAUCCGGAUUUAUUGGGUUUAAAGGGAGUGUAGGCGGUUUGUUAAGCGUGUUGUGAAAUUUAGAUGCUCAACAUUUAACUUGCAGCGCGAACUGUCAGACUUGAGUACACGCAACGUAUGCGGAAUUCAUGGUGUAGCGGUGAAAUGCUUAGAUAUCAUGAAGAACUCCGAUUGCGAAGGCAGCAUACGGGAGUGUAACUGACGCUUAAGCUCGAAGGUGCGGGUAUCGAACAGGAUUAGAUACCCUGGUAGUCCGCACAGUAAACGAUGGAUGCCCGCUGUUAGCGCCUGGCGUUAGCGGCUAA